GAUGAAGAACGUAGCGAAAUGCGAUACGUAAUGUGAAUUGCAGAAUUCAGUGAAUCAUCGAAUCUUUGAACGCAUAUUGCGCUCUUUGGUAUUCCGAAGAGCAUGCUUGUUUGAGUAUCAGUAAACACCUCAAAGACUUCAAUUUGUUUUGAAUGGCUUUGGACUUGAGCAAUCCCAACACCAGUCUUUACGAUCGGUGGAGGGUUGCUUGAAAUGCAGGUGCAGCUGGACAUUCUCCUGAGCUAAAAGCAUAUUUAUUUAGUCCCGUCAAACGGAUUAUUACUUUUGCUGCAGCUAACAUAAAGGGAGUUUGACCGUAUUGGCUGACUGAUGCAGGAUUUCACAAGGGUCGGCAACGAUUCUUGUAAAACUCGAUCUCAAAUCAAGUAAGACUACCCGCUGAACUUAAGCAUAUCAAUACGGAGGA
rnacentral:misc_RNA from 1 species